CAGGAUGUGCCUUCCCUUGAAAGAUGUGAAAUGCAGCGAGAGCCCGAGGCAUUUUUCAGCUGACAGAAACAUCGCCCUCUUCUGGGAACAGAAAUGCAGAGAUUUUACAAUGCAUGGAAAUAUAGGGAAUGAAACUGCAAAUUUGCUGCCAUGUAAUCCAGCUGGAGAGGAAGGCAGAGGGAAAGGCAGCUCAGCCAUCAGCAGGAGCUAAAGAGUGAAAGUGCUGCAUGGACUGUCCUGAAAUGCCAACUCUCUGUCAAUGUCAUCCAUCAAGGGUCG